rnacentral:lncRNA from 7 species
AAAGUCCUAAGAAUUUGAUGAGAGCAAACACUGCUGAUCUGAACAUCGGUAUUAAAAGCAGGAUAAUAUACAGCACAAUAUUACAUCCCUUUGCCCAGUUAUGGAAAAAGAACAUUCCUUAGAGAUGGUAAGAGGGCACUGGCAACACUGGAAGACGUGAAGGUUUGUAUAUUCAGAGUUCAGAAAUGCAUCACAGCUUUUGUUGAAAAUAUGACAUAAUCACAAAUUGCUCAUCAAGAUAUUGAGGUUGAAUUUACUGCCUCUGAAUGAAGCCUACAUGUCAUUCUGGAGAAGAAAGGCUUGAUCUACAGUCUUUCCAUCAAGCUUAUUGCAUUUUGUUUGGAUCAGACACUAGGCCUUUUGUUUAGUUUUAGCCAAAGGCAGAGUACCACUAAGCAGUCUAAUCAGUAUACAACAGAUUUGUCCACCAAAGAUCACCUCUAGGGAUUCAGUGUUGUUUUCUGGCGUUUGCUGAGAGUGACAAUUUUUAUGUGUUUUUCAGGGACAAUGCACAAAUCCAUACAGGAUAUAAUAUCCCCUGGAAGCUCCCAGUUCUCGGAUAAGUGAUAAGUUUCAGAUGUUUGCAUCCAAAGGAAAAGUCCACAAUUCUCCAUUCUCAGGGGAAAAAAAUGUGUUUUCAAAACAAGAUAAUUUAUUAAUUACAUAGUAUGUGAUGGUGUUAAAUAGGAACAAGAAAAUAAAGUUUUUCCCU